AGCAGCUCUGGUCUGUUCUCACUCAAUCUUAGCAAAAAUGACUGCAAACACUCUGAUGAUCUGCUCUCUACUGCUUUCUCUUGCUGGUUGUUUUGCUGAGAUUAUUCUGACUCAGAGUCCAUCAGUGGAUUCGGUGUCUGUGGGAAACAGCGUCACUCUCAACUGCAGGUCCAGCAGUACUGCUGUUACAACCGCUUUAGUCUGGUAUCAUCAGAGACCCGGACAAACACCCAAACUCCUGUUUUCUAGUGUUGGUAGCAAAAUGUCUGGAGUUUCUGAGAGAUUCACUGAUGAGAGAUCAGGAACAAACUUCAUGCUCAAAAUCAGGAAUGUCCAGUCUGAAGAUGCAGGAGAUUAUUACUGUCAACAGCGUCAUGAAUAUCCAUUAGCACAGUGAUACAGAGCCGUACAAAAACCCCCUUCAGUGAAAGAGGAACUACUGAUUUAGACACACACUGCACACAUAUUACACUGUCACUGGACCCCAUUUUUAAAACUCUGAACAGUUCAUAUCACACUGCAAAAAACCUGAUCUAUUGCAUUUCACUAAUACAUAAGGUUUAGAUUUGGCUGUGGAAUACUCUACAUACACCAAAACUAACAAGUACAGUUUUAACUUGUCAUUUAUAAUGAAAACAGGCAGUGGAUUGAGUAAAAU